GUGGCUUAGCGGUUAAGAGUGUCGGGCUAAUAUCUGGAAGACUCGGGUUCAAAUUCCCACUCA
rnacentral:tRNA from 1 species